rnacentral:rRNA from 1 species
GCGUGCUUAACACAUGCAAGUCGAACGAGAAUCACCGGAAGGAGUUUUCGGACAACGGAAGGUGAGGACAGUGGCGGACGGGUGAGUAACGCGUGAGGAACCUGCCUUUCAGAGGGGGACAACAGUUGGAAACGACUGCUAAUACCGCAUAACGCAUAGGUAUCGCAUGGUACUUAUGCCAAAGAUUUAUCGCUGAAAGAUGGCCUCGCGUCUGAUUAGCUGGUUGGUGAGGUAACGGCCCACCAAGGCGACGAUCAGUAGCCGGACUGAGAGGUUGACCGGCCACAUUGGGACUGAGAUACGGCCCAGACUCCUACGGGAGGCAGCAGUGGGGAAUAUUGGGCAAUGGGCGCAAGCCUGACCCAGCAACGCCGCGUGAAGGAAGAAGGCUUUCGGGUUGUAAACUUCUUUUGGCAGGGAAGAGGAGAAGACGGUACCUGCCGAAUAAGCCACGGCUAACUACGUGCCAGCAGCCGCGGUAAUACGUACGUGGCAAGCGUUGUCCGGAUUUACUGGGUGUAAAGGGCGUGUA